GGGCUAUAGCUCAGCUUGGUGGAGCACCUCGUUUACACGGGCUAUAGCUCAGCUUGGUGGAGCACCUCGUUUACAC
rnacentral:tRNA from 1 species